UGCAAUACGCUUUCUAACACAGGAAGCACAUUUGCUGAGACAGCGGCAAGGAAAUACGCUUUAUCAAAAGGAAGAUGCACUAGGGGGGUUUGCGCCACUCGAGAACUGCGGCUGGCUCACCGACAGGUGGGACCCGUCUGUCGGGUUCUUCUCCCACCUGCCGCGCAAGCCUGGGCAGGAAACAGCGGCGCUCCGACAGGGCUCGCCGGUGCUAGGGGCAUCAUUCGUGGUGCUGAGCACACCGGUAGACUCGGGAGGGAGAGCUUCGUCCUCUGGAAGGUUCUAGGGCAGCUGGGGAGCUCGGGG
rnacentral:lncRNA from 1 species